rnacentral:rRNA from 1 species
CACGUAGGGUGCGAGCGUUGUCCGGAAUUAUUGGGCGUAAAGAGCUCGUAGGCGGUGUGUCGCGUCGGCCGUGAAAACCUGCAGCUUAACUGUGGGCUUGCGGUCGAUACGGGCAUCACUGGAGUUCGGCAGGGGAGACUGGAAUUCCUGGUGUAGCGGUGAAAUGCGCAGAUAUCAGGAGGAACACCGGUGGCGAAGGCGGCGACCUGGGUAGAUACUGACGCUGAGGUGCGAAAGCGUGGGGAGCAAACAGG